rnacentral:rRNA from 1 species
CACGCAGUAAACUAUGAUUACUCGCUGUUUGCGAUACACCGUAAGCGGCUUAGCGAAAGCGUUAAGUAAUCCACCUGGGGAGUACGUUCGCAAGAAUGAAACUCAAAGGAAUUGACGGGGGCCCGCACAAGCGGAGGAACAUGUGGUUUAAUUCGAUGAUACGCGAGGAACCUUACCCGGGCUUGAAAUGCAUCUGACAGGGGCAGAGAGGCCUUUUCCCUUCGGGGCAGAUGUGUAGGUGC